rnacentral:rRNA from 1 species
GACGAACGCUGGCGGCGUGCCUAAUACAUGCAAGUUGAGCGCUGAAGGUUGGUACUUGUACCAACUGGAUGAGCAGCGAACGGGUGAGUAACGCGUGGGGAAUCUGCCUUUGAGCGGGGGACAACAUUUGGAAACGAAUGCUAAUACCGCAUAAAAACUUUAAACACAAGUUUUAAGUUUGAAAGAUGCAAUUGCAUCACUCAAAGAUGAUCCCGCGUUGUAUUAGCUAGUUGGUGAGGUAAAGGCUCACCAAGGCGAUGAUACAUAGCCGACCUGAGAGGGUGAUCGGCCACAUUGGGACUGAGACACGGCCCAAACUCCUACGGGAGGCAGCAGUAGGGAAUCUUCGGCAAUGGACGAAAGUCUGACCGAGCAACGCCGCGUGAGUGAAGAAGGUUGUCGGAUCGUAAAACUCUGUUGGUAGAGAAGAACGUUGGUGAGAGUGGAAAGCUCAUCAAGUGACGGUAACUACCCAGAAAGGGACGGCUAACUACGUG